GUCCGUCACUGUUGUUUUAAAAAAAGUGUUUAAACUCGGCGGACCGCUGUUAGUUUGUUAUAUUAAAGUGUGACAAAAUGUCGCCAAAGAAAGAGGCCGUUCGCAGCCAACCGCUGCUGCUUAGCAACCGCUAAAGUUCAACAGCUAAAGUUAACCUACAUAGCAGCACGGAAACGAGCUAUAGUGUUUCAGAUUGUGACACUUGUUGCCCAGCGACUGAUCAAUGCGGAAAUGGCCUCCACAAUUUACAAGUAACCUGACUGCAGUAAAUUUACAUCUCAUUAAUGUCCUGGUCAGCCGCCAAUCAGCGUGAAGAAAAACAAGCACCAUCAGGGAGGUGUCUGAUCAGUCCUGGAUUCAUUCUGCAGCAUGACAACGAGCCUAAACUCACAGCCAGAGCCAUAAAGAACUAUCAGCAGGGACAAGGACAACAAGGAGUCCUGCAGCAGAUGGUCUGGCCCCCACAGAGUCCCGACCUCAACAUCAUAGAGUCAGUCUGGGAUUAUAAGAUGACACUGAGACAGAAGAAGUGUGGUAAAUUGCAGUUGCAACCACCACAGUAUGCUAUGUAUGAAAAACUUUAUCCCUUUUUUCACUAUUUUCUGUCUUAAGUUUUGAAAAUGUAAUGAAUAAUGAACCUGGUUAAUUGUUAGCUGAAGCCGGGAUGAAGAUGAAUGUUCACUACAAACCACAAGAGGGCGCUCAAACCACGUGAGCUCCUCCUGAACCUGCAGUGAAUUAAACACAGUUCCUCGUCUCUAAUCCCCUCUAAUGUCACACUAUAAUGGCGGUGGAGGUCAUUACCCAACCGAUGUCUGAAUUCAGGCAGACACUCUGCAGCGAUGGACUGCUACAUGUCCACCGCAGCCAAUUUUUCAAAGCUGUGCUGGCAUGUCACUGCAGGCUGACUGAAAGUGGGGAGACAGCGUGGGAGUGGGGGAGUGAGGGGAGUCUUCUGCAGCAGCAGCAGCAUACAGUGACAGAGCAGACAGCAUGGCCGACUGACCUACAAACAGCAGAGGGAUGGAGCAGACUCUGACCUUCACUGAUUGUUGAUUACUUGGUCAUUUUAGAUCAUCAGACUAAAACCAUGUAGUCUUUCUUAUUACAGUUUAUAAUAAACAUUUGUUUUCUCCUUUUCUAAUGGCUCUGAAGAGUAACAGAGGAAUGCAGUAUAAUAAAUAAAUCCACACAUAUCCCCUCCAUCUGUUUCAUUAUCACCACAGAAAAGCCUCAUUAUUCACUCCCAGUAAAAGGUUUUUCAGUCUUGAUCGUCAAUUGAUUUUUAGUUGAAUUAUGGUCCUUGUAAAUGCAUGUUUAGAGGAGACGGACAUAUUUAAUCAAUGGGCUGAUGAUGGACGCUUCCUCAUGCAUCUGGCUGAUUGUCAGAGCUUCUUAUAUUUCUUAUUGUUUCUCACAGACAUCUCUCUCCCCCAUUUUCUCCACACUCGGAAAGCCCUGCAGCCCAACGCAGAAGGAGAGGAAAUCAAUAAAAUCCAUCAGGCCAAACCUGUUUGUUUGUACCGAGCAUCCCUGACACAGAUUCUUGCACUAAUACACUGGUUUAUAAACACACGCACAGUCAACAUGCACAGACACAAACACAAUUUCAGACAAAAGAGCCUGAAACCCACAUGUACAGUUUUAAAUACACAAUCCUCCACUGAAUCAUAUCCUCCUCUGACUCUGGUGCUCUUUCACUCCAUUAUUAAUCCCACUUACCCACUCUCACCUCGCUGCAUACUCCUGUCUCACACACACACACACACACACACACAAUACACACACCUCACAAUAAAAGCUUAGCCCAAUUUUGAGAACUAGGCUCGGUAAAAGCCUUCAAGUUCAACGAGAGCUGUUCUCUCCAGAUAUAAUGUCAUUCAAUCAUCUAUCUUGACCUCCUGAGUGUGUGCGCGCACAGACUGCAGAAACAAAACGCUGCCGAUUUCACCUUCAGGCAAACACUGUAAAUCAUACUCUGAUCACUCUGUCUUCUCCCUACCCCCCAUUUUCCUUUUUGUAAAGUCCCCAGCUCUCCACCCCCCCUGUAUGGA